GUACCUUUUGUAUAAUGGGUCAGCGACUUAUAUUCUGUAGCAAGGUUAACCGUAUAGGGGAGCCGGAGGGAAACCGAGUCUUAACCGGGCGUUAAGUUGCAGGGUAUAGACCCGAAACCCGGUGAUCUAGCCAUGGGCAGGUUGAAGGUUGGGUAACACUAACUGAAGGACCGAACCGACUAAUGUUGAAAAAUUAGCGGAUGACCUGUGGCUGGGGGUGAAAGGCCAAUCAAACCGGGAGAUAGCUGGUUCUCCCCGAAAGCUAUUUAGGUAGCGCCUCGUGAAUUCAUCUCCGGGGGUAGAGCACUGUUUCGGCCAGGGGGCCAUCCCGGCUUACCAACCCGAUGCAAACUGCGAAUACCGGAGAAUGUUAUCACGGGAGACACACGGCGGGUGCUAACGUCCGUCGUGAAGAGGGAAACAACCCAGACCGCCAGCUAAGGUCCCAAAGUCAUGGUUAAGUGGGAAACGAUGUGGGAAGGCCCAGACAGCCAGGAUGUUGGCUUAGAAGCAGCCAUCAUUUAAAGAAAGCGUAAUAGCUCACUGGUCGAGUCGGCCUGCGCGGAAGAUGUAACGGGGCUAAACCAU
rnacentral:rRNA from 1 species